UACGUAGGGGGCAAGCGUUGUCCGGAUUUAUUGGGCGUAAAGAGCGUGUAGGCGGCCAGACAAGUCUGCUGUGAAAACUCGAGGCUCAACCUCGAGCUGUCGGUGGAAACCAUCUGGCUAGAGUCCGGAAGAGGAGAGUGGAAUUCCUGGUGUAGCGGUGAAAUGCGCAGAUAUCAGGAAGAACACCAAUGGCGAAAGCAGCUCUCUGGGACGGUACUGACGCUGAGACGCGAAAGCGUGGGGAGCAAACAGG
rnacentral:rRNA from 1 species